CAGCCGCCGCGGUAAUACGAAGGGUGCAAGCGUUAAUCGGAAUUACUGGGCGUAAAGCGUGCGUAGGCGGUGAGUUAAGUCUGCUGUGAAAUCCCCGGCUCAACCUGGGAAUGGCAAUGGAUACUGGCAAGCUAGAGUGUGUCAGAGGAUGGUGGAAUUCCCGGUGUAGCGGUGAAAUGCGUAGAGAUCGGGAGGAACAUCAGUGGCGAAGGCGGCCAUCUGGGACAACACUGACGCUGAGGCACGAAAGCGUGGGGAGCAAACAGGAUUAGAUACCCCCGUAGUCCCUGUCUCUUAUACA
rnacentral:rRNA from 1 species